GUUGAAUUGCGGUUGGCAAAGCGUUAGUGCUUAGGGAUUUAGAUGGCCGAAUCUGGGUUGAGUGCGUUUGUUCGUAUUUUGGCAUUUUCUGGGUUUUUGUUCUUGAUGUCCUUGGCUAUAACUGAUGGUUUGGGAUGGCUAAAGUCAUAGAGAUUUCGAGCAGUGAGGAUUCCGGGUCUGACGUGUCGUUCAGCGCGGCGGAUAGGAUUUUUAUUGAUUCGUUGCGUCCGUCUGCCCAUGCAGGAACCUCACUGCCAGAACCGCUAGAAGUU
rnacentral:lncRNA from 1 species